UCUUCCUUUUGUAAGUGUGGUGCCGCCCUAACAUUAUACCAGUUUGAGCAGGCAGGUCUAAGUCAGUGUUACCUAGAAGUGUAAUAAUCGUGUAGCUAGUGUCAGGCGGGGGAGUGUUUGUGUGGUGUGAGGCGAACAAGUUGUACUGCCGGAAGUGACCGAACGAUCUGGACAGGUUUCCGGAUAGAACCCCGAAUAGGUCACCACAAAUUGGCGACGAGGAUGGGAUCUGGAAGUUGGAACAGGUGCCGAUAUCUCCCUGUUAAUUAGCAUUGCCUCAAUUCAGUUGAUAAUACAUAAAUCAAAGCCCUUCGCGUCCAUAGCAGCUUCCACUUCACCAGGCAGUAGAGUGAUAUUUCCGAAAACCAGAUUGUUCCUUCAGCAGCACACCAGUAUUACGACAUCGGUUGCUCUUUCACGAUUGUUUCCACGACUUUCUUUACGGCGGCAACACGUAGAUAGGUCUGCGACAUUGACAUAUUGGACCAUUAGAUUUGACAUUACGGAUUAAGACCGCGGAAAUAAAACAACGCUUUAUUUUUUUGAGUAUGUUUUUCGCUGGUCGAUGUUUCGGAGUCAUAAUUUUAAUUGAAAAAUCUAUUACAAACUAGAAAGUUACAGAGAAAAAGUGAACUUAACUUUUGAAAAUAAAAGCUUGCUACCUUGUAAUAUAAAGUCUAGUUUGGAGGGGGGAGGGGCAGGCAGGGCGGCCGCAGGACAUGUGAGUGUGUGUUUGUUUGUUUGUGUGCGCACUUGUCUGCUCGGUCAAUCUCAGUAAAAAGUGUGUAAGGUAUACGAAUUAAAUAAUAUUUUUUUAUGUAUAAUUAAUAAGAGUAGCGCUGUGAACUUACGACGACAAAAAUGAAAAUAAAGCGUUUGUGAGUGCGUGUGUUGUUUGUGUGUACGUGUGUUUGUAUGUGUUUGUGUGUGGAAGUUCCGCUACAGUCCGGUGCUUGGAAAUGCAUUUGCUGUUUUUCUUUUUUGCUUUGCGAAGAGUAAUAAUAAUAAGAUGCUUUAUGUUUAGUAAAACUGUCCACCAUGGAUCGGCUGGGCAUGGUGGCUGUUGAUAAUCUGCUGGGUUGGUGUCGUGAAGAGGGACGGCGAAAUAGCACCCCCGAUGAGCUGCUGCUGGGCGACAUUCUGGGUCGAAGUGGCCGCGCAGGCGAUCGUCGGAUUCAUCGUCAGCUGCUGGGAGGGAGUGACCUGUUGUUGCGCGGACUGCUGCCGGCCGGUGCUGGAGAUGAGUCCGGGAUGAAUGUUCGGUUGGUUGCCCAUCGGCAUCAUGUUGCUGUUGAUAAUGGACAUGUCAACCUCGCCAAGGCCAUUGACGGUGAUGCCAUUUACGAGAUUUACUGCAUUUCGAGCACCUUGAGCAUCGAGUUGACCCCAGUACGCUUCGCUUGGUGAUGUGGUGUUAGAGCCUGGCGGUGCCGGAACGGGAGCACCGGUAUAUCGGAAGUACGGAUUCUUAAGAUCUAGCGUGUUGCAGGAGGUGAUCAUCGUGCCCUCCAGCUUCAAGUCGAUUUCAACGUCAUAGCUUUGUCUUUGAUUAGCUGCCAGAACGACCUUGCCGGACAGGACCUGGCCUUGCUUGACGAAAAUGGGCGUUUGCAGCAGGCAACGUACCUGGUACCAAUGGGUGAGAGACUCCGUCGGUGCGGUCGACAGCCAAAUCUGCGAGCACGACCCAGCAAACUCCACAUCGAACCAGAAGGCCAACCCGUGGCACGUUCCCGUCUCCAGAAUGUGGAACUCGACAUCAAUCUGAAUGCGGUGCAAGUCCUUCUCGUCGGCGGUCAAAAAGUUGGUCGUGUGUCGGAUCGAUUUCGCCAUGCAAAUGCGUAUGUCGAACGUGUCCACGAUCGGCUGCCGGAAGUACUCCUUCAUGGCCGCAUCCCGCAGGGACACCAAGUUAACGCCGUGGAACUCGGACUGCAUCCAAAAGUUUGCCUUGUUGUACUGCUCCAUGUAGAGUGCCUCGUCCGUGAACGGCGCAACGUGCAAAUCUCCCCGCGACGGGAACAUCUUGCCCUCCGGCUUGAGCCACUUUUUGCCGUGCAAAUAAGUCUCCAGCAUGCGCUCGUUGUACAGCAUGUAGCCCAUCGGUUCCGAGAUGAUGACGUCCACCAUUUCGGGCAGCUCAAUCUCCUCAAUCUUGCCGGCAAUCACCGUAAUCUUGCCGUUCAGAUUGUUCGAGUGCACCAGCUGCUGGGCGUACUGGGCCAUGUUGCUGGCCUCGACGGCGUAAACCUUGGCUGCACCAGCUUGAACGGCGAAAAACGAAAGAAUGCCUGCGAAAGGAAAAGAAAGGUCGAAUUUAGAUCAGGGUAGUAAAAA
rnacentral:lncRNA from 1 species